AAACGGGCGCGAGUCCUGGGUGAAAACCCAAAGGCGGAAUGAAAGUGAAAGGGGCUUAGCCCCUGAGGGAGGAUGGGCGUGCAGCCUUUACAGGCGGCGCCCCGCACUCCCGGGGCGUCUCUUUCUCAUUACGAGUUGAGGCGCACCUAAAGCGCACACGCUGAUACCCGAAAGAUGGUGAACUAUGCCUGGCCAGGACGAAGCCAGGGGAAACCCUGGUGGAGGUCCGCAGCGAUUCUGACGUGCAAAUCGAUCGUCGGAGCUGGGUAUAGGGGCGAAAGACCAAUCGAACCAUCUAGUAGCUGGUUCCCUCUGAAGUUUCCCUCAGGAUAGCUUGCGCUCGGUGAGACGAGUCUCAUCCGGUAGAGCGAAUGAUUAGAGGCCUUGGGGUCGAAACGACCUCAACCUAUUCUCAAACUCCAAAUAGAUGAGAUCCCCGGCUUGCUUGAAAGUGAAGCCGGGAGACUCGGAUCAGAGUGCCAAGUGGGCCAAUUUUGGUAAGCAGAACUGGCGCCGCGGGAUGAACCAAACGCAGAGUUAAGGCGCCUGAAUCGACGCUCAUGUGAAACCAUGAAAGGCGUUGGUGCUUAAGACAGCAGCCGUUA
rnacentral:rRNA from 1 species